UUUAAUGCGGUGUUAUUUGUGCAUUUUACACUUUGACUGUAAGGGUGAUUAGUAAUCCGUUAAAU
rnacentral:tRNA from 1 species